rnacentral:rRNA from 1 species
AUUAAUAGAUAAGAACUUUAAACUCAAAGGAUUUGGCGGUGUUAUAUUUUUAGAGGAACCUGUUCUAUAAACGAUAAUUCACGAUUAUUCUAACUUUAUUUUAGUUUGUAUAUCUCCGUUAACAGAAGAUUUAAGAAGAAUAAAAAUUUUCUAAAAUUUUAUUAAAAUUUUAUUUCAGGUCAAGGUGCAGCUCAUAUUAAAGAAGAAAUGGGUUACAAUAAAUUUAUUUUUGAAUAUAAACUUAUAAAGUUUAUUGAAAUUGGAUUUAAUAGUAAUUAUGAGUAUAUAUUUAUUCUGAAUUUAUAAACUAACAUGU